UGUCCCUGGACUCGGCCCGCGCCGCCCUGGGGGUGAGCGAGGACAGCCACCUGCUGCUGGCCCUGGCCGCGGUGGCCGUGUCCUGCGAGGUGGCCUGGCGGGGUCUGGGGACAUCACGGCGUCACCUGGCCACCGCCGCGAGCCACCAGCGGGACAUGGCCCUGCGCCUGCGGGACCGUGCCCGGCGGGUGGCAGCCGCCAGGGCCAGCGCCGAGGCCGCCGCAGCCACCAACAAGGCCACUGCAGAUGUGCUGGGGCGGCUGGAGGAGGUGACACAGGCACUGGGGACGUUGGUGACGGCUGUCACCCAGGACAGGGAGGUGACACCUUGGGGGACACAGGGACAGGGCUUCCCCAGAGCUGCCCGGGCACUUGGGGACAUCCUAGUGGGCUUGGGGACAUUUCGUGAGGGGCACGAGGAGGUGACGCCGAGGCUGGAGGCGGCCCAGAGAGCGCUGGUGGGGCAGGGAUAGGGACAGGGUGGGGACACUGGGGUGGCACUGUCACUGCUGGGGUAGGGGGACACUCCGAGGGACAUUGGGGACUUUGGGGACAACCCCGUGUCCUUCCCUUGGGGACAGCGGGACCACCCUGAGGUCCCCUGUCCUGUUUUGGGUCACCACGAUGUCCCCGAUGUCCCCACAGGACCCCAGCAUGUCCCCAGAGUCCCCAACAGGACAUCGGGGGGGACACUUGGGUCUUGUUGGGGACAUGGGGGGGGUCACCGGGGCCAUGGGGGGACCCUGAGGGCACAUCGGGGUCCCGUAGGGGACAUGGGGAGGACAUUGGGGACCCCGCCCGGGCCGCUCGGGGGGAGGGGGGGCGGGGACGUCACCUCGCCCUGCCCCCAUCCGGCCGCGCCACUUCCCGCGUGUUCCCCGAGUGUCCCCCGGGCCUGUCCCCCCUCCCCGCCAGCAUCUCCCGGAGUGUCCCCGCAGUGUCCCCGCGGCGUCCCCGGAGUGUCCCCAGCGGCCAUGGAGCCCCGCGAGCUGCUGGAGGCGCUGGUGGCCGUGGUGGCCGUCCUGGGUGAGGUGGCAGCCACUGUGGCCGGGCCCUACGGGGACGUGCUGCUGGCCGUGUCCCCACGGUCCCUGCACACGGCCCUGGGGACCUUCAUCAAUCACCUCCGGGACACCCUGGGCCACCAGGCUGUCCCCUCCCUGGGCCAGGCCCUGGCCGCCCUCGGGGCCACCCCAGGGGCCACCUGGGUCCAUGUGACAAGGGCGGCCAGCGCCUGGCAGGACCCGGUGGCCGCGCUCAGGGACGGCUGGGACCAACUGGCCGGGGAGGCCAUCGAGCUCCGCGACGCCUGCAGGGACACGGCCACCAGGGAGGCCACCACAGCGGCCACCGCCACCACCCUGGCUGGGGAUCUGCAGGUCAAGGCCACACAGUGGGGGACAGCCAGGGACAACCUGGUGGCCGCGGCCCGGCCGGUGCUGCUGGCCCUGGACAAGGAGGAGGCGACCUCAGCGCUGGCUGCGCAUGAGGCCCAGAUGGCAGCCGCCACCAACAAGGUGGUGGCGGCCACCAAGGCCACGGAACAGACCGGGGUGCCCACCAGCGAGGCCAGGGCAGCCAGCAGGAGGGAACAGCGGGCAGAGGUGGCCCUGGAGCUGCUGGAGCGCUUGGUGGCUGUGUGUGACAAAGCCACCACGUUCCCCCGGGAGCUGCAGCGCCGGCUCGGGGACAUCGAGGCCACCCUGAAGGGGACAAAUGAGAUGUCCCCCGAUGUCCCUGCGGCCUUGGUGGCCGCGGCGACCGAGGCUGAGCGGCUGUGGGAGGCCAGCGCCUGCCUGGCCACACGUCACCUGCUGAGGACACUUGGGGACAUCCGCACGCUCCUCUCAAGUUGCCAUGGUGGACCCGGUGGCCGCGCAGUGGCCGAGCAGUGCCAAAGAGCCAUCGAGGACAUCCCGAGACUACUGUGAGGACACUGAUGUCACUGCUGUGAUGUCAUCGGGGUGGUAACAUCAUCAGGGACAUCACUGGUGUCAUUUGUCCCCGCCCCCUAUCUCAGGGUGGGAUUUGAGUCAAAUUUGGGGAAUUUUCUGAGAGUUUUCAUUAAAACUGCCCCAAAUCCUGAUGGGGAUUCCCGGGGUGACAUCACUGGGGACACUUGGGGACAGGGACCAACCCAGCAAGGCCCAGUCACGUUCGGAUGCUGUUUCCAUGGUGGUGGGGACACGUGGAGUCCUGAAAGGGAAAACAGGGUCUUGAGGGGGUGAGUUGGGUCCUGGCAGGGGAAUGAGGGUCCUACAGAUGUCAUUUAGGGUCCUGAAAGGGUAAACUGGGGGGCCAAGAGGGUAAAUGGGGGUCUUGGCAGGUUAAACGAGGGUUGUGAAUUCCAUCUGUAGGACCCCAUUGAACCCUUCAGAGCCCUCAUUUACCCUUCCAGGAUCCCACUUAGCCCCUCAGGGCCUUCAUUUCCCCAGACAGGACCCUGAGCCCCCCACUCUCAAGGCGACCUUUCCCCUUCCAGGACCCCAAUUACCUUCCGGGACCUCAUUCACCACCCCCCACCCCAGGCCCUGCCCCCAGGCUCCGCCCCAAGCUCUGAUUGGUUGGAUUGGAGAAAGGGGCGUGGCCAUUGAGGUGGAAACCGAAAUGGAGAAGAGGGGGAGGGAAGACGGGGUAGGGACACCCCAAAAAUGAGACCAGGCUCCCCCAAAUUCCAGGAAUUCCAUGGGAACCCCUAAAAUACUGGGAAUUGUUACAGCAUUUUUGAGAGAAAGAGGGCAUGAAUUGUGAAACUUGAGCUACUCCAGGCUAGGCCUCAGAUUGAGGCCUGGUGGGGCCCUCAAAGCCUCUGACGCAGUUAGAAAUUCAGGGUUGUGGCGCAGGUAGAAAAUAGUCUUAAAGUACUGUGGGGACCACGGGGGGUGAGCUAGUAUAGGUUUUAUGGUGUACAGUGCAGGCCGUUUUAAGGAAAAGGUAAACAAUGUUAGCCUACCAAUCAGAGUGUCUUUGUUUCUGUAAACUAUAUAGAAGCUUAUAUAAACUACCGCCUGAUUUUGAAUAAACGGAGAACGUUGCAUUAAUCAUAUUGAUUGGAUGUGCGUUUGUCUUGUCCAGCUUUCCGUUUUUCUGAGAUUCCCUGGCUUUAGGGAAUUACAUAGAAAUCCCCAAAAGUGGGACUUAGGACUCCCCAGAUGUCCCAACCUGGGAUUCUCAGUUUUUAAUGUCCCAAAUUGGCAUAACAAGUCAAUUUUCCAGGAAAUUCCUGGAUUUUAAUGCUUCAGAUUGGGAUAAAACGCUGAUUUUCCAGUGAAUUUCUCUUUUUUCCCAGCAAAACCCCAUGAAUUUCCUGGAAAGUCAACUUUUAAUCCCAAUUUGAGGCAUUAUAAAAACGGGGCCCUGGGGGGUUUGGUGGUCCUGGGGAGGAUUUGGGGUUCCUGAGGGAAUCUGGGAGUUCAGGAGGGUACUGGGGGGGAUUUGGGGGGUCCUGGAGGACCUCAAGGGGUCCUGGGUGGGGUUUGGGAGGUCCCAAGGGAUCCUGGAAGUUCUAGGAUGGCUUUUGGGGAAUCCUGGGGAGGAUCUGGGGGGUCCUGGAGGGUUCCAGGUGGGGUUUGAUGGUGGCCACUGUGCUGCAGAUGUGGCACGUGGUGGAGCCGUGUUUGCAGAUCCUGCGGGAACUGGAGGGGGAUGGGGCUGGCUGGGGUCAUGGGGAGGCACUGCCAUCAUCAUGGAACGUUCAUGCUCGUGACUGGUCGUUGGCAUUGGCAUCGUCACAGAACCUUCAUGGCCGUGAUGGGUCAUCGUCGCCCUUGUCAAGGAACGUCUGCGGUCAUUAAGGGUCAUCAUCGUGGAAUGUCUCUGAUGGUCGUGAUUCCAUGCGUGGCCUUGAUGGGUCUUCACCGUCACUGUCAUCAUCAAAGAUGGGUCCAUCCGUGGUCUUCAAGGGUCCAUCCAUGGUCUCGAUGGGUCUUUGCCUUCGUCAUCGUCAUCAUCAUGGACCAUCUGUGGUUGUGAAGGGUCUUCAUUGCCAUCGUCAGUGACCAUUUGUGCUCAUGAAGGGUCAUCAUCGUUGCAGAAUGUCCAUGAUGGAGAUGAGUCCAUCCACGGUAUUGAUGGGUCUUUUGCUUUAUCAUCAUCAUCAUCAACCACGGACAUGAAGGGUCUCCAUUGUCAUCAAAGGCCAACCAUGGACAUGAAGGGUCUCCACUGUCAUCAAGGGCAGUCCAUGGUAGUGAAGGGUCUCCAUUGUCAUCAAGGGCAGUCCAUGGUAGUGAAGGGUCUCCACUGUCAUCAAGGGCAGUCCAUGGUAGUGAAGGGUCUCCAUUGUCAUUAUUGCCAUCACCUGUGGUCCGAAUGGGUCAUUGCAUGCCAACUGUGAAGGAGAAAGAUCUUCAUCAUCCUCCUCUCCCUGCUAGACCUCUGAUGUGGCCCUGCGGCUCAGUCACGGGGGAGAAGGACCCUCAUCAACGCUGUCAUCACGGGGUUCCCACGGCAGUGAGGGGACAAUCCAUGGUGACAUCAGGACCAUCCAUGGUGACACUAGGACUAUCCAUGGUGGGGACGGGACAAUCCAUGGUGACAUCAGGACCAUCCAUGGUGACACUGGGACGGGACAAUCCAUGGUGACAAUAUGACAAUCCAGAGUGACAUUGUGACAAUCCAUGCUGACAGUGGAUCAGUACAGACCAGUAUAAAUCACUAUGGAGCAAUAUGGACCAGUAUGAACCAGUACAAACCAGUAUGAACCUGUGCUGGGUCUGUGAGUGACCACUGCAGCUCCCAGAUCAGUCUGGGGCUCUGGUCCCAGUUCAGGCUCUGGUCCCAGUUUAUGCCAGUUCCCAGUUUAGCCCCUGAACUGGUUUGGAAUCACUCCCAGUUCAGUCUGUACUGCUUGGGGUCCAAUUCCCAGUUUAUCCCAGUUUGUCCUGUACUGGUUGGUGUUGCAGCAUUUUUGAGAGAAAGAGGACAUGAGUUAUGAAAUUUGAGCUACUCCAGUCUAGGCCUCAGAUUUGGGCCUUGUGAGGCCUUCAAGCCUCUGACGCAGUUAGAAAUUCAGAGCUUGUGGCGCAGAUAGAAAUAGUCUUAAGGUGUGAUGGGGACCACUGGGUUGUCUGGGUGUGAAUUAGUAUAGGUUUUAUAGUGUAAGGUGUAGGCAGUUUUAAGGAAAAGGUAAACAAUAUUAGUUUGCCAAUCACAGUGUCUUUGUUUCUGUAAACUAUGUGGAAGCUUAUAUAAACUACCACCUUAUCUUGAAUAAAGGGAGAACGUUUGAUUAACCACAUUGGUUCAGAUCUGCGUUUGUCUUGUCCAGCUUUCCGUGUUUCUGAGAUUCCCUGGCUUUUAGUGGCGCCCGACCAGGGACUCAGGAGGCUCCAAAAAAGCUCCCAAAUUACUUUUAGAGGAACGGGGAGCUGAGUUUGAGUCGUGCGACAGAAAUUCAGGUCCAAAUCGCCUCAUGGCGAUGGGGCCAGGAUCCCAAAUUCACUUUUUGUGAACGGGGAUCAAGUGGAACGAAGCAGAAGUCUCCAAACUCCGAAUUGGGCCGUUUUCCCAACAGGAGGAAAAAGACUCUUCGCAUUGUUGUUUGUUUGCGAGAGUCCGUUGGAGCAGUGGGAAGACCCCGGUGUUCAUAAGGAACUCGAAUGGCGGGUGUGGAUGCUGCCGGGGCCGGAAAGCUGGAGGGGGAGUGCUGCCUCGCCAAAGAAAAGCGAGGAAAAGCAACCCGCAGAGGUUGGAGGUAAGCCGCGGAGAGAGAGAGAGGGUGAAAGUUCACCAUGGAUGGGGAUCUGCAGGCUUCCGUGCGGCUUCUCUUUCCUAUUCUCUCAAAGAGAGCUGAAAAAAUUAAAGAAGCCGAUUUAGAGCAGUUGGUCCUGUGGACAUGAAACAAAGGCAAGCUGCAAAAGCCUUCGCUGAUUUUUAGUGAAGUCGAAUGGCAAGAGCUGAGGCAGCUGCUUUGGGACGCAGUGAUAGAGGGCGGAAAAGACAAGAAAACACUGCUGGAGCUUGAAGGCAUUUGGAAAAAAGUUUUACAUACCCUGCAAAGCAUGGCCGUGGAGAAAAAAGCAGCAGAAGCUGCAAUUCAGGCGUUUGAGCAAUCCACAUCAGAACAGACAGAAGUUCAGAAGUUAUCUCGGGUUGAAAAAUUCUUUAAUGUUUGUAAUAUGCAGCCAGUGCAAGGGCAGAAAGCUCCAGUCAGUCCCUUUGUCAGGGAUUUGGUCGCUCGUUUGGAGGGAAGCGCAGAGCCAGGAGGCGUGGGGCCGGCCGGCGCGGGACAAAGCAAAAGCGUGACCGCGGCAGGGGCGGGAGUGUGCCCGCAGGCAGCGGAUGUUAGCAGCUUGGUGGUUCCAUGGAGUAAUGUGAACCCGGAAGGGGCCCCGUCGGGUCCCUUGGGAGGCGGGGAGACACCUGAGGAGGCAGGCGGAGUUGGUGACGAAACAGGGCUGAGUCAGGAGGAGGAACUCCGGGGCGGAGAUCAAGGCGGAGACCAGGGCGGAGAAGGGAGCGAGGCGGUGCCGGCCCCUCGCCCCCCCG
rnacentral:lncRNA from 1 species